UACUUGGUUGAUCCUGCCAAGGAAGCACACUUAGGUCAUAGAUUAAGCCAUGCAAGUGUUAGUUCAGGUAACGAAACUGCGAAUAGCUCAUUAAUACGCUCAGAAUCUAUUUGGCGGCGACCAACAGGUCUUAAAUGGAUAGCAGCAGCAACUCUGGUGCUAAUACAUGCGAUUGUUUCUCCAGAUGUGAAUUAUGGAGGAAAAGUUGACCUCAUCAGAGGCACGCCAUUCGACUGAGUGACCUAUCAGCUUGUACUUAGGGUCUUUACCUAGGUAGGCUAUCACGGGUAACGGGCGGUUACCGUCGGACUGCCGGAGAAGGCGCCUGAGAGAUAGCGACUAUAUCCACGGGUAGCAGCAGGCGCGAAACUUUCCCACUCGAGACUUUCGGAGGAGGUAAUGACCAGUUCCAUUGGUGCCUUUUGGUACUGUGGAUAGGGGUACGGUUUUCCACCGUAACGAAACCUAGCAGAGGGCCAGUCUGGUGCCAGCAGCUGCGGUAAUUCCAGCUCUGCGAGUUUGCUCCCAUAUUGUUGCAGUU
rnacentral:ncRNA from 1 species